rnacentral:rRNA from 1 species
GACGAACGCUGGCGGCGUGCCUAAUACAUGCAAGUCGAGCGAAGUUUUUCUGGUGCUUGCACUAGAAAAACUUAGCGGCGAACGGGUGAGUAACACGUAAAGAACCUGCCUCAUAGACUGGGACAACUAUUGGAAACGAUAGCUAAUACCGGAUAACAGUAUUUCUCGCAUGAGAGAUAUUUAAAAGUUGGUUAUGCUAACACUAUGAGAUGGCUUUGCGGUGCAUUAGCUAGUUGGUGGGGUAAAGGCCCACCAAGGCGACGAUGCAUAGCCGACCUGAGAGGGUGAUCGGCCACACUGGGACUGAGACACGGCCCAGACUCCUACGGGAGGCAGCAGUAGGGAAUCUUCCGCAAUGGGCGAAAGCCUGACGGAGCAACGCCGCGUGAGUGAAGAAGGAUUUCGGUUCGUAAAUCUCUGUUGUUAGGGAAGAAUGGAUAUGUAGUAACUAUACAUGUAAGAGACGGUACCUAACCAGAAAGCCACGGCUAACUACGU